UUGUCAAGCGAGUUGUCUUAAGAGCAAUUGCCGUAGAAUCAGACUGCCCAGUGUCCAUUACAGAUGCCCCUUGAUAGAAAGAACCAAAAGAAGCAGCGCUUCUCUUUCUAUCAUUCCUGCUUUAGACUAAGGCAUUCCAGCGUUCAUUCGCCAGGCCAAUCAAUCUUCUGAAAGAGCCCUGCCUCUGGUUUGCCCACUGCAUAUAUUCAUUGUCUUCUCUCGGCGGAAAAGGGGCUUCUAUAGAGGUCAGAGUCGCGCGUACCCAAAUCUGAAUAAGUAAAUCGGCUCACAAAUGGAGGAAUCUAAACCUUUCUCUAUUUCGAAUGUCAAACCUGAAUGCAAGCCUAAUAGGGAAAGUGCUAAGGUUAAUGCCCCAUGACGCGAGAUAAAAGGACUAAGAGCCUUUAUCCCAUGGUCAACAAUCGGCUUCACUCGCUCAAGUUUUUCUAUAAAUGGAGCGCAUCAGUUCUAUUGAGAACCAAUUCCUCGAGUAAAGGCUUCUACAGCUGGUUGACAAAGAAUCCGAAAUGCGCCACUUUUCCUGGUAGGAAACGCUAGAAUAUUGCACUGAUCGGAGAGGAAUUCUAUUUCAUUCAUUGCCCAUCAUCGAAAGUCUUUGAUUCCUGCUUUAACUAAUAGAAAGAGGGGAUGAAAAGUUUCUAUAUCCCACUCUGAAACAAGCCAAUAGGUAAGGACUAAGGGUCCGCGGGAAGGCCUUAUGAACGAAAUAAAGAAUCAGUGAAGCCGAGUGACGAAGUAGCUGCCCGUGAGUGAGAGGCGAACCGUGUAAAAGUAGGGUUCCUAAGCAAGCGAAGGUGGGGAACAGAAGGGUUGGUGCUUAUACUCCGACAGGUAUUUCCAUGGCUAGAAAGGCUUCUUCAAUCCAGCCAUAUCUUACCGACCAGGGGCUUUUGAGCGAGCAAGCCACUUCUCGGCAAGCUACCGUUCUUUCGGGUAUUUAUCCGCUUUAUUGUAAUUUGAUGGACUUCUUCACUUCUACUUCGUAGCCUCGAUCGAAAGCCAACUACAGACAAGUAACAACUUCUUGAUACCAUUCGCGCGACCUCCCAGACAGCACCCGCUUACCGGGAGAAAGACGAAAUAGGAUGGGUUUACAGCCCUAGGCAAUAGUUAAAAAAGAGCAUGUCCCAAGUGAGUUCUGAUCGAAGGUGAGCACCAAGUUCCCAUCAGGAGCAGAGGCAGUUCUUUCCAGACUUUCUUUCAAGAGUUCUAGUCGCGCCUCUCCACUCUAACAAAGUAGUCCAUCUGAAAA
rnacentral:lncRNA from 1 species